UCCUGUGUUUUUUGAGUUUGUAAAAUUUCACCUGUUGCGCGAAUCGAUAAAUAACUGCUCGUAUGUUUUAUUAAUUUUUUUGAGUUGUUGUUAAUUGAUAAAGGACGGAUAGUAUUAAUUCGUGUUAUCACCCCAAAACCGUAAGGUAUUUUAAAUUUGUAAAUAUUGAGCAAUAUGUGCUAAGUGUCCCAUCCACUAUAUUAUAAAAGCCGCUCAAACAAACAGUAUAUUAAGUAAGACAUCCGUUUUUUUUAAUAACUGCCAUUGCACCGUCAUGCGAGAAUACGUAAUAUAAUUCAUUUUUUGAAUGAAUGAAAUUUAUUUCGUCUCUUCGGUCACGAUAACGAAGAGCAAGAGAUUUGACAAAAGCCAAAAGAUGGGUAGUAACUUCUACAUGUGAUAUGUUCUUUUUAACUAGAGAAUCAAAAAGCGAAAGCUCAACGCCUAUAGAGAACUAUCUCAUAACAAUAGACUUGAACUGAAGAUUACCACUCGCCACAAUCAUUUCCGUAAACCUGACUUAUGUAUACGUAACAAAGCAUUGCAUUGUAUUUUGUGUAACAAAUCUGUUUGCUGGUUUUAUUUAACAAAGGCACAAAAGAUGACAAACUAUUCAUUUUACACCCGGUAGUCUUCAGAUAGAAACAGCAAAAGCUUCACAUACAUACGUGUAAUGUAUGGCACAUUCUUAUAUUUUAUUGGAAUCUAUUUACAAAAGGCUCAACAGCCAACAUCAAGGUCAUUCAGAUGCUGACGGCACCAAAUAUUUUCAAUCGAUUAAGCAUAUCAGCAUGUUUAUUGAAAAGCAGAUUAUGAGCUCAGGCUGUGGAUACACGUUACAUGUUUUAGCAACUUUAAUGGCGCAUUUAAAACGAGGCAUCCAGAUGUACAGACUUAAAAAUUGUUUGGUUUGCAUUUCAGAACUGAAAUAGAAAUAAAAUAUUUUAAAACACUUUUCUAAAUUGCACACACAUAACCAAAACAAAUUUAUGUUUCAUCUAGCAAGAGCCGUUGAUGAUAAUA